UAUUAAUAAGACUGAUAUGAGGCUAAGAAAGUAAAAUUGCUGUACCUUUUGUAUCAGGGGGACUCAAAAUUUAAUUUAAAUAAAAAUCGAGUUAAGCUGAACUUUUUAUUUUACUAAUAGUGGUAUUGAGACGUAAAAAAUUUAAGAGGUGAUAAACGAACGAAGGUUAUUAUAUCUUUUUUCUUUAAUACAGAAAGGUAAGCUUUCAAAUAUUUUAAAUUAUUGUAAAAUUAAAGGGGCUAGGCUUUAAACUAGCCAGGCUAGUAGUUUGUUUUAAUAAACUUUUUUUAUUACGGUAGGGUGUAAAGUUAAAUGAUAUUUCAAUUAGUCUAAAUUGCUACUAAUAAUGAGUUUAUUGAGUAUAAGUAGAAGUUUAUAAAUAACUCAGGUUGGAUUAAAAAGUUUAACAAAAACAUUUUUAUUUUUAUAUAAGGUAGUAAGGCCUGCCCGGUGAUUUUAAACGGCCGCGGUAAUUUAACCGUGCUAAGGUAGCGUAAUCAUUUGUUUUUUAAUUGGAAACUAGUAUGAAAGGUUUAAUUAAUUUUACUGGUUUGUAUAGCUGUAUAUUAGAUUUAAGUCGAGGUAAGAAUUCUUUGAUUUUCUAGGGGACGAUAAGACCCUAGAAGCUUGAUAAGCUUAUAUAAAUUAGAUUUAAAGUUAGGUUAUUUUACUGGGGCGGUAGUAGUAUGUGAACUACUUAAUUUUUGGGGGGUCCUUAAAAUAAAGAUAAGUCGUAUAAGUUACUCUAGGGAUAACAGUGCUAUAUUUUUGGAGAGAUCUUAUCGAUAAAAAUGUUUGCAACCUCGAUGUUGAAUUAAAAUUAUCUUUAUGCAGCAGAAGGUAAUGAAGAGGGUUUGUUCAACCUUUAAAUUUUUACAUGAUUUGAGUUCAAAUCGGUUUGAGCCAGAUUGGGUUUUAUCUCUAGGUAGUGUAUAAUUUCUUUUUAGUACGAAAGGGGUGAUUGAAUUUUGUUUGG
rnacentral:rRNA from 1 species